rnacentral:rRNA from 1 species
UGACUGUGCAAAGGUAGCAUAAUAAUUAGGUUUUUAAUUGGGAUCUUGUAUGAAUGGUUUAACGAAAUACUUACUGUCUCUAUUUGAUAGGUUUAAUUUAACUUUUUAGUUAAAAGGCUAGGAUUAUGAUGGGGGACGAGAAGACCCUAUAGAGCUUAACCAUAUUUUAUGUAACAUUUAUUUAGGUUUUGAAAUUUGUUGAAUAAUAUUUGGUUUCGCUGGGGCGGUGAAGGGAUAUAUUUAACUCCCAUUUUGUGAAUAGAAAUUACUAGUUAAUUGAAUUAAUAAUAUUAAUUUAAGAUUAAGUUACCUUAGGGAUAACAGCGUAAUUUAUUUGGAGAGUUCAUAUUGAUAAAUAAGUUUGCGACCUCGAUGUUG